UACGGGGGGGGGCAAGCGUUGUUCGGAAUUACUGGGCGUAAAGGGCGCGUAGGCGGCCUUCUAAGUCGGACGUGAAAUCCCUCGGCUUAACCGAGGAACUGCGUCCGAUACUGGAAGGCUUGAAUCCGGGAGAGGGAUGUGGAAUUCCAGGUGUAGCGGUGAAAUGCGUAGAUAUCUGGAGGAACACCGGUGGCGAAGGCGACAUCCUGGACCGGUAUUGACGCUGAGGCGCGAAAGCCAGGGGAGCAAACGGG
rnacentral:rRNA from 1 species